UACGGAGGGUGCAAGCGUUAUCCGGAUUUACUGGGUUUAAAGGGUGUGUAGGCGGACCAUUAAGUCAGCGGUGAAAUCUCCGGGCUCAACCCGGAAACUGCCAUUGAUACUAUUGGUCUUGAAUGUUGUUGAGGUGGGCGGAACGGGUCAUGUAGCGGUGAAAUGCAUAGAUAUGACCCGGAACACCGAUUGCGAAGGCAGCCCACUAAGCAACGAUUGACGCUGAGGCACGAAAGCGUGGGGAUCAAACAGG
rnacentral:rRNA from 1 species